rnacentral:lncRNA from 1 species
GAGGAGUGAGAGUUUGGCAAAGAAGAGGUCUAGGCUCUCUUCUGCUGCAGCCAAGCCCUCUGUUACAGCUUAAAAAGCUUGAGAAUCAAAUCAAAGAUGUUACAUUUCCUAGUUUUGUUCUCUUUUUUUACUCUGGCAGUUGAAAAGUUAGUUCCGAGUUCAUAUUUCAGCUGUUGUUCCAUCAUCACUUCUGGCUUGUUUCUUAAUUCAUGCUUUUAGUUGAAGACUUUUUAAACUCAAUUCUUUGUUGUUUCCCCUUCACUUAUUUUUGUUCAAGGCAUUACUCAAUUUAAAAGUCUAUUUGAUCAGUUAACUACUUACCUGAUGAGUCAAAGUAUUGGAGAUUUACCUGGACGGUUGAACUUGAAUUAAUGGAGUAUUCUUUGGUUUGGAGCUGCUACUUUUGAAUCUAACUGAAUGAAAGCACCGUAACUUUGUUGACAAUUAGUUGAUUUGAAAAUAAACAUUGCUAUAGAACAACUAAUACGCCAUCAUCAUCAAUGGGGUGGUGGCGCAGUUGGCUAGCGCGUAGGUCUCAUAGCUACUGAGUGAUCCUGAGGUCGAGAGUUCGAGCCUCUCUCACCCCAAUUUUUUUUGUUUUCAUUUAUCCUUUUUUAAUCUAUACGGAAAGAAAUUAACUUACGUCGCACACUCGCACCUUUUUGCUUAGUAUCAGAUUAUACGACUUUGAAAAUAUAGAAAGCGUUUAAAAUUGAAUCAGAUUUUAAGGCUUUUAUCAUUUUGUGGUUUUUGAAAUGAAUCAUUUAAUACAAAGUGUUUUGAAACUUGGAAGUGAUUUAUGUUCUUCUCACUUCAUUUAAUGUGAAGUGAAAUAGACAAGGAAAACGCAACAGAAGAGGGAGGGGAGAGGUCUGAAGACUGAAGAGACACAAACAAUCUCUCUUUUGAGUUUGUUGUAGUGAUCGGAUAUGGCAAAUGCAUUGUCUCGAACAAAACCACACUUCUUCCAGCCUCUUAUCCCCGGUUUCGAGAACCACCUUGUAAAGCUAUCUUUCUCUCUUUUCCCUCAAUCUCUCUAUGCACAUAAUUGUCUCAGUUUUCUGUUUCUCUUUUGCAGAACAUUCCAGUGAAAUUCUUCUCCGACCACAUCGUCGGAAAACACGAUGGAAGGACUGUAAAUUUGAUAUCAGAUGCGUCAGAAAGAUCUUGGCAAGUGAAGAUGCAAGGCCAUAGACUCACCGACGGUUGGAAAGAGUUCGUCGAGGCACAUGACCUUCGAAUUGGUGACUUCCUCGUUUUUAGACACGAAGGAGACAUGUUGUUCAAUGUCACUGCUCUAGGACCUAGCUGCUGUGAGAUUCAAUACUCACAGUCACAGCCUCCCAGCCAUGAAGAAGGCGAAGAGAGUAACGAAACUGGUAUGACUCAAUGUGAACUUCAAUUUAUUGCGACUCUUUUCUAUUCUUGAAACGUUUCAUUUUUCCGAUUCAGAAGUAUCUUCAAGAUCUGAGAAGCAAGUUGAGGAGAAUGUGAAAACAGAAUGUGAUCAAUUUUCAUCUGAUCUCAAUUGUUUUAGCCUAUCUGUGACGGCUUCAAACCUAUCAAGAGAUACAGUGGUUAGCAAGAUUAGCUAUUAAACUACUUUGUUGUUAUUAUGUUUCAUUUUCAAGAAUUUAAUCCUCCAAUGGACUUUGAUGACUGAUGCAGUGUGUCCCCAUACAUUUUGCAAAGAGAAAUGGUUUGAACAAAGAAAGGCAAGAGAUAGUUUUGAUGAACGAAGAAGGCAAGUCAUGGGCAUCUGAAGUAAAGAGCUGGGGUGGUUGUAGGCUUACCAUUGUUCGAGGUUGGACAAGUUUUUGCACUGCAAAUAACCUACAAGUUGGAGAUUCUCGCACAUUUAGACUGCUCCCAAACACAGCAGAAACGCCUGUGUUUCAGCUCUUCAGCCCUACUAAGUCAGAGAGGAGAAUCCAGUAUGCUGAAGGUUGUAUCGAUGGCAAAACCGGAGAACACCGGUUUGUGAAGUUAACUCCUACACCAAACAGCCUUCACCUUGGUAAACAGGUGACUUUUCAAAACCUCAAUCUCAGUUUCUUUUACAAUACAUUGCUUUUUUUAUAUAUAUAUAUAUAUAUAAUUCUAAAUAUUUUGCAGCAUCUACCGGCGAGUUUUACGAGAGAGAACGGACUCAUCAAUCCGGGGAACAUAGUUCUGGUGGACAAAAACAGAGCUGAAUGGUCAAUGAAGCUUAAGGCUGACAAAGCUACUGGUCUGAUGUAUAUUAUCAGUGGUAAUGGUUGGAAAAGUUUCUGUGCGGCCAAUGAAAUAGUUGUAGGGGAGUCUCUAAUAUUGGAGUUGAUCCAAGGAGGUGUAACUCCUUUGCUUAAGUUCAGCUCCAAGGUUAGUAAGAACGUCAAAUAGUUUGCAUUUUAGGUUUUACUAAGUGGAAGUCAAUCAAAUAACGACUUGAACAGAUGGAGGAACCACCAUUUGAAGCAGAGGCUCAGGCACACAAGAGAGCUCGAUUCCAAACAUGGAGCCAGGAGACUGAACCGAAUCUUAAGAUGAGAGAGAAGACAACUGAAGAAGGAGAAGCCUCUCGAGCAUCUAACAAAUCCAGUGGUAAUCAAGAAAACUUGCAUCAAAAGCAACCUGUCCCUGUCUCAAAUCAGGUGGCUAAGGUGAAAGAUAGCGUUGUAGAUGCUUUAACUAGUAUAAGACGGUAUAUGGCAGAACUCGAGACAACGAAACAGAAGCUAGAAAUUUCAUUAAAGGAAAUCAACGACCUAGGUAUGAUUUGUACUUUGAUGUGUAUCAACAGCAAUUUUACUUGCUUUGAAAACCUCUACUUCUAAUCCCCAAACCAUUGACGAAGACCCCAAAGAAUGUUUAAUGAUGGUUUGUAUUCCUAAACUUUUUUCCAGGGCCGAAGUAAGUGAGUACGGUGAUCGGUUGUUGGAAACAAUAGAAUCAACUGUGAGCUGAGUACUAUGAAACCAAUAAGAAAGAUUCAAUCAUCAGCAAUGGGAGUCCCGGUGCAGGGAAAGGAUGAUGAUGACUGGUUAGCCUAAGCCAAUCCUGCAAAAAGAAAAAUUGUUAGAAACAAAACCAAUAAGUUGCUUCUUGAAUUGUUGUGAAUGUUUUAGAUGGAGAUGGAGUGGUAAUUGGUCAUGGAGAAACUUGAUUUUUUAUUUAUAUUGUUUAGUUUUGUGUCAAAACAAAAUGGAAAAUAUUACUGGAUAAAGGACAAAGAAAACGUAGUAAAUAGAAAAAGUCCAAAAAGAAGAAGUAUGAAGGUCCAAUAUAUUAAACUGCAUCGUAGAAGGCCCAAACCAUAUUUCCAAGUAACAACAUCAAUAAAGCUAUAAUACACGAGUAAAAAAGACAUUAAAGAAAAAAGUGAAGAAAGAAGAGAUCAAACAAUUUCGAGUUUCGAGAAGCCAAUUUAGAUGCUGCAUGAGAUUGGUUUAAUUAGGGUGGAUCUUUCUGUCUUAUUCACUCGCCACAACAUAGCAGCUCUAAUUUUCCUCGCCGUUGGUGUCUUUUUAUUUACUUCUUCGUCAGAAACUCCGCAGUUGCGACAUUGGAGCCGCUGCUCUCGUAAGGCGACUAUUACGAAAGAAAAAAAGACACAAUCGUGUAAGAAUUAAGAUACUACAUUUUCUUAAUGAAAAUUAAAAACAAUACUCCCUCUUUUCACAUGUUUAUAUUUUCUCUUUCUACCAAAUAUAAUAGUUUAUAUCUUCAGUUAAAUUAUUUUAUAAACAAAUACUUAACUCUAUUUUAAUCUGAAAAAAUCAAAAACCUCAAUCUUUUUGAAAGGGAGAAAGUAAUAUUUAAAUUUUUAUUGUUAGGAAACUGUUUGGUGUGACAAUACAAGAAAAAUAUAUCAUAAAAAAAAAAAACACACAAAAAAUAUAGGAAAUUGUUUGGUGUGACAAUACAAGAUAUAAAAAGCUGUUCGGUGUGACAAUAGUGAUGUUAUAAAUCAUUACAUGUUGUCAGUCUAUGUAAGCUUUUAAAAAAAAAAUACUUUAUAGAGAUAUAGUACAUUUAAUUGAAAAGAAUGAAAUUUGUAAUACAUUUAAAUCUUUCCUGAAAUCAGUUAAUCUAAACAUUUUAAAUUUUUACUGUUAUUGGGUUAUAGUUAUAGAAAAUUGUUUUCCAUAGUGUGAAUAAAUAGUGAUGUUUUUUUUUUGGUCAAAAGAAUAAAUAGUGAUGUUAUAACUCAUUUAUUGUUUCUUAAUAUGUGUGAAUUUCUAAAAAUAUUUAUUAUAUUAGGAACAGAGGAAAUAUUUUUAAUCUAUCAAAUUUUGAAAUUUCAAAGAUAUGUUCACCCUUUCACAAUUGUGAAAAGGUGUGUAUAUAUAGUGCCAUGACAACUAUAGCCUAUGUAUUUUGUUUCAUUGAGUAACCAAGAAAAACUUUUGGCUUUGUUGAAGUGAUAAGAAUGGCGAAUGCAUCUCCGUCCUCUCCGACAAACCACCACUUUUUCCAGCCUCUUCUUAACGGAUUUAAGAGCUACCUCGUACGCCAUCGCUCUGUCUCUGUCUUCCUUUUUCUCUCAAUCUGCAUCAUUGCAUGCAUUAACAUAUAGUCUCAUGGUUUAUGUUUCUCUGUUGCAGAAAAUUCCUGUGAAGUUCUUUUCCGAGCACAUCGAGGGAAAACACGAGGGCAAGACUGUAAAGUUGAGAUCAGAUGCGUCGGAGAGAACAUGGGAAGUGAAGAUGGAUGGCAAUAGGCUCACCCAAGGUUGGACAGAGUUCGUGGAGGCACAUGAUCUUCGAAUCGGUGACUUUGUUGUCUUUAGACAUGAAGGAGACAUGUUGUUCCAUGUCAUUGCUCUAGGAUCUAGUUGCUGUGAGAUCCAAUACUCACAGUCUAGCAGCCAUGAAGAAGGCGAAGAGAGUGAUGAUAUUGGUGUGAUUGAAUCUAUUAAUGAACCAUCUUUCAAGUUUCAACGAACAUUUACAUUUUUAAUUGAGACUCUUUGCUAUUUCUUGAAACGUUUCAUUUUCUAAUUCAGAAAAAACUGCAAGACCUGAGAAGGAAGUUGAGGAGAAUGUGCAAAAGGAAUCUGAUUGUUUUAGCAAAACCGUGCCGCGUUCAAGCAUAUCAAGCGAUAUGGUGGUUAGUCAGAUUAGUGGUUUCUUCGUUGUUGUAUAUGUUUAUUCAUAGGUCAAAUAUGUGUUUAUAUAAGUCCCAAUGCAACUUGAUUGACUGAUGCAUGCAGACUCUGCCCAUAGAUUUCGCAAGACGAAACGGUUUUGACAAAGGAAUGCAUGAGAUAGUUUUGAUGAACGAACAAGGGAAGUCAUGGGAAUCGAAAGUAAAGAGUAAGAUAGCUGGUCAGGUUUUCAUUCAUGGAGGUUGGAAAGGUCUCUGCAGGGAAAAUAAAUUAAAAGUGGGAGAUUCUUGCACAUUUAAACUCCUGCAAAAUGCGGAAAGGCCUGUGUUCCAGCUCUGCAGCUGCACAGAGGUGAAGAGGAAGAAGAAAGUUCGGUUCGCAGAGGAUGACCAAACUGGAGAAAACCGGUUUGUGGAGUUAACUCCUACAGCUAACAGCCUUAAGAUUGGUAAACAGGUGAGUUUUAGGAACCUCUAUCUCUCGGGUUUCUUCAACGAUUUGUUUUUCUAAUUUUGAAUCUUUUGGCAGCGUCUAUCGUUAUAUUUUACUAGUGCCAAUAUGCUCAACAAGCUGGAAAAGAUCAUCCUGGUUGACAAAGACAAAGUCGAGUGGCUGAUGAAGCUUAAAGUUGAUAGAAGUGAUACAAGUGGAGCGGUGUUUAUUUGCGGUGGUAAUGAUUGGAAAGGUUUCUGCUCCGCAAAUGAAGUAGGCGCAGGGCAGUCACUAACUUUGGAGUUGAUCAGAGGAAGUGGAAGUCCAUUGCUCAAGUUCUGCUCCAAGGUCAGAAAGAACGUCAAACAGCUUGCAAUCCACGUUUUAUGUUUUGCUAAGUUGAAAUUUGUUUUCAGAAGGAGCAACCACCAAACGAAGCAGAGGAUGGGAUCCGCAAGAAAGCUCGGGUCCAACAAAAUGGAAGCCUUGAAACAUGCAAGAGAGGACCAUCUCGAGCAUCUAAAAUGGGACCGGAGCUUGAGAUAAGGGACAAGACAGCUGAAAAAGGAGAACCAUCUCGAGCAUCCAGUGGUGACCAAGGAAAGUUACAGCAAAAGCAACCUUGCUCUGUCAUAGAUCAGGUGGCUAAGGUGAAAGAGAGCGUUGUAGAUACUUUGACUUGUAUCAGACGUUUUCUGGCAGAGCUCGAGCCAAUGGAACAGAAAUUAGAAGAUUCAUUGCAGGCUAUCAACAAAUUGGGUAUGAUUUCUAAUCUGAUAAGUUAUUAAACCAAUGUUUAGUUUUGGUUUUGGCUUUACUCAAAUUCCUAACAUUUUAAAUAUGGCAACAGAGAGAGGAGAGGACAAUGGGAACAAGACAAGAUCUUCAAGUAAAUAAUCAGAUUUAAAAUGUGAAAACCUGAAAACUCUUGUAACCUCUGUUUUAUUUUGUUUGAAGAUGGAGUUAUUUUAUUUUUCUCUUUUUUGUUCUGAUGCAAUGGGUUAAUUAAUGUUUUAUAACGUUCUAUUCUUAGAGCGGACUAGUAUUUUGUAUUUAUGUUAUGAAGUUCGUCGACCACUGCUUCGGUUAUUAAUAUAGGACUUUUACUAGAAACAAAGAAUUGUUAUCAUAUUUUUUUCGACAUCAUUCAUAAUCUCAUACAAUUUUAGUUUUGUAAGAAAAAAGAAAGUAUUCAAAGCCAAAAAAAAGGGAAAUAUUGCGAGCAACUACAAAAAAACAUAGUUGAUAAAAGGAAAAAAGAAAACUUAAAGGGCCAGUCAGUAAUAUAAAUUGUAUUGGAGAGGCCCAAACCCAACAUAGAACACACUCUAACACUGUGUCACUGUCUUCUCAAGUAAGUAACAAAAUCAAUGAAGCGGUAAUACAAGAAAAGACAAAAAUAAAAGUGAAAUUCUUGAAAUAUAAAAAGAUACAGAAGACACGAGAAGAAAGAAGAGACCGAUGAUUUAUAGAAGCCAAUUAGAUGCAUGAGGUUUGUUUUCCGGUGGAUCUUUCUGUCUUCACUCGCCUCAUUGCCACUCUAUUUUUCCUCGCCGUUGGUGUUUUUUACUUCCUCAGAAACACCGCUGCUAAGUACUUCGACAUCGGAGCCGCCGCCGCCGGAGGUUUCGACCGGGAAUUCGUGGCGGUGGAUGCUGAAGAUUUCUCUGUCUGUGGGGAGAAAUGCUCCAGCUGCAAAUCCUUUCGAAAUUGGUAUGCCCUCAAACUCAAUAUCUGUAUUGGGAUUAUCUCUAGAGCUUAGUGUAAUUGAAAGAUCUCUCCAGUGGGAGACUUAUUACUAUGUUUGCGAGCUUGUGAUAUGUAAUUCUUUUCAAAGUCUUGAGCUUUUCAAUAGAAGAACCCUGUGUUUGGAAGUUGUUGUUUCUGAAUUUAGCUUAUAUGAGCAGCAGGUAGUUUGGAAUUAUCUUGGAUCACCGUGUGUUUUAAAGUUGGUGUUAGUGCAUUUCGGAUGUGUAAUUAUUUCAAAGUCGUGGCCUUUUCAAUAGAAGAAUCAUGAGUUUGGAAGUUGUUACUUAGAUUAUUUUGGGAACUUAUUUUAAAUGAGCUCAGAUAGUUUGAAUUAUCUUCAACAGCUUGUGUUUUUAAUUUGGUUAUUUGAAAUCCUUUGUUAUCAGCUCAGAAGAGUGCCAAAGUUCAGAUUGGAGUUCACGUCAUCAAAGAAAAUGCAAGGAUGUUGGGAUUACUAGCUUAACCUCAUCUGCAAAGAAUGGCUUAAGGUUCAGAGCUUCUUCGUUUGGGAAUAGAUAUGCUUCUGAGGUUGCGCUGGUUUCUGAUCAGGGUCGAAACAAGAGUAUCCUCAAGCCAAGAGAAGUAAUGUGUCUUCCUUUUUUCUCAACUCGUUUUGACAUUUUCUUGAUAGAGUCACUGUGAAAAUCUUACUUGUACUUUUUUCUUGCAACUUUCUUCAGGUUCUUUUCCCGUAUGAAGAAUUUGUUGAAUAUUUUAACUGGGGCAGUUCAGAAUUGGCUCCCUGUGGGCUCAUGAAUUGUGGAAAUAGGUUUGUGUUCAUCUAUUUUCUAAUGUAGCUUUCAAGCAUCAAUUGAAAUGAAUUGAGUUUGUUUUUUCUACGUUAAAUAUGAUUUACUUUAAUUCUCUUUCAGUUGUUUUGCCAAUGUUAUACUACAAUGCCUAUCGUGGACACGUCCUCUUGUUUCAUAUUUGCUGGAGAAAGGCCACAAGAGCGAAUGUAAAACUUCUUUCUUUUCACUUUGCAUUAAUGCUUCAAGCUCUUUAGUUUAGUUUUCUGUAUGCGCUCUAGCCUUGAUCCUAUGUUUUGUUUGACAGGUAUGCUCAACAAUUGGUGCUUCUUCUGUGAAUUUCAAACCCAUGUUGAGAGAGCAAGUCAAAGUCGGUUCCCUUUUUCACCAAUGAGUAUUAUUUCACGGUUAACUAAUAUUGGUGGAACUCUUGGGUAUGGAAGACAGGAGGAUGCUCAUGAGUUCAUGAGGUCAGUAUCUCUUACUCAUGAACAUAGCUAUUUCCCAAGUGUUUUGUCUGUGAAUCUCCCAACUGAUGGAUUUAGACAAUUCACAUAAUUUAGGUAUGCGAUUGAUAUGAUGCAGUCAGUUUGCCUAGAAGAAUUCGGUGGAGAAAAAAUAGUGCCUCUUCGUUGUCAAGAAACAACUCUUAUCCAAUAUAUAUUUGGAGGUCUCCUUCAAUCACAGGUGAUAUUUCCUGAUCUCAAUGUCAAAUGUUCAUAUGUCUGAUUGAAUGGUGAUAGUACAUUCAUGUACCAUAUUAAGGCAAGCUAACAAUAGAUGCAUUGGGAUCUUAGGAAAUAUCCUGUUAUACGUAUUCUUUCCUUUUUUUUUUUUUGAAUUGUAGAAUUCAACAUGCUACUUCUUUUUGUCUUUAGCUGGCUGCCCCCAUAGAGAAUAUAUGGAACUUGUUUUCCAGUAGAUUAAAAAACAAUCAAGAUCCUUCCUGUGGUAAACUUACGUUAAGUUCUAAUGGUCCUCUUCUCUCUCUAUCUUUCUCUGUUGAGCCUUUUUCCCAUAUUUUCUGCAUUUUCAACUUUCCAGGUUAGGUGCACUGUUUGCAAUCAUGUUUCUGAUCAGUAUGAAAAUAUGAUGGAUCUAAUCGUUGAGAUGCAUGGGGAUGCGGUGUCUUUGGAGGAAUGUCUUGAUCAAUUUACAACCGAAGAGUGGCUUCAGGGAGAUAAUAUGUACAAAUGUGAUAGGUACGAUAAGUAAAUCCAAAAAGCUAUGAAUCUUAAGCAGUGUGUUAGUUGAUUAGUUUAAAAAUCGACUAUGUUUGUUAAACCCAAUAAUAUUUUCUCUUUCCAGGUGUAAAGACUAUGUAAAGGCAUGCAAGCGUCUUACGAUUAGGCGCGCUCCAAAUAUUCUUACGAUUGCCUUAAAAAGAUAUCAGGUAUUUGUAGCAUUGCCUUACUUUUUUCUAAAUAUCUUCUGGGAAUAGUCGUCGAUAACACAUCUGUGAAAUUAUGUUCAGGGAGGUAGAUACGGAAAACUGAACAAAAGAAUAAGUUUUCCUGAGACAUUGGAUCUUAAUCCUUACAUGAGUGAAGGUGGGGAAGGAUCAGAUGUAUAUAAACUCUACGCAGUGGUUGUCCAUUUAGAUAUACUGAAUGCAUCAUUCUUCGGCCAUUACAUAUGCUACAUUAAGGACUUUUGCGGAAACUGGUAUAGAAUAGAUGAUUCCGAGGUAACAACACUCAUAUUACUUUCUGCUCUUCUUGUUAGCAUGGAAUUAUGACGAUUCCAAAUUUUUUGAGGGAUCUUCUAACCAUAAUAAAAAAUACUCACAGAUAGAAAGUGUUGAAUUAGAAGAUGUCCUUUCUCAAAGAGCUUAUAUGCUCCUCUACAGCAGGUAUGCUUGUCUCCUUCUGUCUUUCGUUGUUCAGCUCCCCGUGUAAAUUUAAUCUAUAACCACAAGAUUGAGGCUGUUUAUUUCACCAUUAAGAGCUGAGUAAAUUGAUUGUAUAUGAUGAAAACAUAAAAAGACUGCGGUUGUUGAACUAGCGAGUUUCUUAAUUUAUGUUUCUGAUGUCAUGCAGGAUUCAAGCUCGGUCGUCAUCAUCAUGUCUUAGAUCAGAAGUUCAAGAUGAGAAGAAAACAGACACAUUAGACACAGAAUCUUGCCUAAAGGAGUUAGUUGAGAGUUCGAUGGUAGGAGCUAUUGAAAGCAGAAGCAGCAUCCAUGCGACCAUUGAAGACCCUGAAUGUGAACAAGAAUCAUCACCAUCAUCAUUAUCAUCGUCACCAUCACCAUCACCAUCACCAUCUCCACCGCCAUCAGUGCUGAUCUCUGACUGUUGUAGUGAGGUUGAAAGGGCUGAUACAUUGGAAUCCGAGUCAAACCCUUCAAUUGAUGACUCUUCAACGGAUCAUCAAGAGGAUGCAGCAAAUGGGAACAAAGAUCCAGAGGUGAAAUAUCAGGCUGUCUUUACUUGUUCAGACCCUACAACGUCAAAUCCAUUGGUCUGUACACAAUUUAAGCCUCCUGUGAGAGAUAUGGAUACCAAGAUGAUCGACGCUCAAUGAUGUGGAGUUACAGACUUACAGCAUAUGAAAAUCAACAGAGCGUCUAGCUUACAAUAGGGAUGUAGGUACUAUUACACAAUGACUUAAAUAUGGUUCUUAAGGGUGAUUAUACUUAGAAUUUAAAUGUUCUUACUGGUGAAUUACCAAAUUGUUUGCCGUUCAUGUGACAGAAUCAUCAAGACCCUUAUAGUAGAUAGUAUUUUGUUGACUUAAAUCGACACGUUGGCUUUUUCCUAAAUAGUUCAUAACCAAACAUUAGAUUCAUACCUCAUAGGUUAUGACUUUCACUAAAAACGAUCACACGCUCCAAUUAAGUUGGAUGCAAAUUAGAGUCAAGGUCUUGAAGUCUUGAUCCUGAAGCAGAACUCGAGCUCAGGGAGAGUGUUUCUGUCUUCCCAGACCAACUCCACCCAAAAAUAGUCGUACACCAUAACGCCAGCAGCUUUGAAGAAAUCUCUGAUACCUUCACUCAAAUGUAUCCUUCCAUUUUCAUCGUGUUCCACUAGAUUAACUGGCGACUCUACUCUGUGUUUCUCCAACAGAGUUAUCUUCUUCCCUCCUGCAUCUGCCAUCUUGUUACCCUCAAUGAAGCUCUGCGGAACAUGCUGCAUAGAAUAGGAAAUAAUAAGCUUGCUCAGUACACUUUACAAGGCCUCAAAACCCAAAACUCAAACCACGAGAGCUUGCUUUAACUUUCAAGUCUACAAUAUUUGAGACUGGCUGGUAGAAAGACAGAAAGUGGAAGCCUGGGUGAAGAAGUUGGAAGAAAUGUGGGUUUGAGAGAUUGAAGAACUAUAUCCUCCACUGUUGAGGUUGGAAAAAGCGCUUCUCCACAAAGCAAACGAAUAAUUUAUCAAGUCUUCAAUUUAUGACUUAAGUGUGCUUUUGGUAAUCCUCUAACUCUACCUUCUUAAAUUUAUGGUCAAGCUUUUGUCUUUCACAUUUUCAUUAUGAGAACUCCAGCUAUCUCUUUCCCUUUUUCUAAUAGGACUUUCUUCAACCUAUCGGUCCAAGCUCUGAUUUUUUUUUUAAUUGGCAACUACUCUGAUUCUUUUCUUUGCACCUUAGCUAGAGUCUAUAGAUAUUAGAGUUAGUUGAGAAUUCAAUGGUGAAAGCUAAAUGACACCAGAAGCAGCGGCCGUUUAACUAUUAAAGAUCAUGUAUGACAACAAGAAUCAUCAUCAUCAUCAAUAUUGUUAUGCAGAAAACUUCUGAAUUUUUACAUUACAGUAGUACUGCAGAUUACAUUACUUGACUAAUGGUACUAAAGACUGAUCAUAUGUAGAACUGAUUACUUGUUUCCAAGCCCUAGAUAAAAUAUGUUGUUAACUCUUACAUAGCUAGACAUUGGAUUUAUACUGCAUAUAUAGGUUACGAAUUCACUAUUACAGGAUAUACUUACUAAUAACUUGGACGCAAUUUAGAGUAAGUCUUGGCAUUGGAGCAGAAUCUGAGCAAAGGAAGAGUUGUUUUGUCUUCCCAAACCAACUCAAACACUAAAGAUUCAUUCGCCUUAGUGCCAUUAGCCUUGAAAAAAUCUUUCAACCCAAAACCCAAACGCGUCUGUGUAUUUCUCCUUUCCCUGACUAAAGUCACUGCCCAGUCUUUUCCAUGCUUGUCCAACAGAGUUAUCUUCCUCCUUGCUAGGUUUUCCAUUCGGUUAACCUUAACGAAGUUCUUUGGAAGAUGCUGCACACAAAGGAGGCAGUAAGCUUACACUGUGCAAUUUAUAAAACAUUUCCUGAUAAGUGAUGACCAAAACCAAGGGAACAAAACUCCUCCAAGAGAGUUGAUUUGACUUACAAGUCUACCAUUUUGGAGACUGGAUGGUGUGGCAGUUAGUGUCACAAAUCGGUCUUCACUUACUGUCACUGAAGAUGAUGAUGAAACUUUUUGACUAUCACCAGAUUUGUUUAUCUUUCCUAAUUUGUUGCAGUCUUUAGUGGACACACUCGUAAAUUCUGCAGUGGAGAAACGAAGAAGAGGCGUUUUCAAGUUGUUGCUCUCUAGUUCAAACGUGACGGCAUCUCCAGGUUUAAGCCCAUUCUCAUGGCAAAAACUUCUCCAGCCAUCCCUCAUGUAAAACGUUCUACUUGACUCUCUGAACUUGAGAAUUAGCCUCCAUUUCUUUGCUACUUCGUUCAUUAGAACAAUAUUGUUACUUCCUUUAAUCAGAGCACCGGACGUAGCAAACUUCUUUGGAAAAAACUGCAAAGUAAAAAAACUUAAAAUCAUGAUUAGCAACUUUUACGGCUCUCAAAAGAAAUCAAAAGUAAAUAUCAAGUACCAACCAGUGUAUCCUCUUGUAGGUUCGAAUCUGUUAGACGUGCAACGAAGCGAAACUCAUCUGAUGAAAACGACUUUGCAUCUGCUUCAGGGAUCCUCUUAUGUUUCUUUCUUGGAAGCUUUCCUGUUCUCAUACAAGUUGGAAAAGUUUUAGACCUUGUAUAUGUUCUUGAAACACCAACAAGUUCAGAGUUCAAGACUCACUUAUACAUGACUUAACCAUGUUAUCUUUGUCUUCGUCUAGUGAAGACUCUACUUCUGUUUUUAGACUCUGCUUCAUCGACUCGUUUUCUAAAUCAUAACAAGAAAAAGGUUAUUUAUUUUUCAAAACCAAAAUGUGAAUUCCAUGAACAGAAGACAACUUACUGAGGUUUUCCUGAUCAUCAUAAAGAUGAUCGUCGUCGUUGCAAGACUGUCGAUACUGAAUCUCACAGCAACUGGGUCCAAAACAAGCGACGUGGAACAACAAAGCUCCUUGGUGUCUGAAAAUGAUAACAUCUCCGAUUCGGAGAUCAUGUGAGCUGGCGAACUCUUUCCAGCCGAAGGUGAGUCUCCGACCUUCCAUCUCAACCUUCCAACUUUUCUCAGACGCGUCGGAUUCUAGCUCCACUGUCUUUCCUUCGUAUCUUCCUUCUAUGUAUGCAGAGAAAAACUUCAUAGGAAUGUUCUGAAACAACAUGCAAAAGAGUUUCAAAACGAAACCAUCUAUCAUAAUAACUAAGCUAUACUUGUAAAAGAGAGGCAGAGACAGAGUACCAGGUUGGAGUCGAAGCCUGGAAGAAGAACCUUGAAGAAAUGAGGGUUUUCCGGAGAUUGAAGAACUGGAUCCGCCAUUCUUUUAAUAGUUUUUAGAAAGAAAAAAAAAAAACAAAACCAACAAAGUGUAGAAGCUAGCUAACGAGUGUCUUUUUGGUAAUCCUCGCACGGCUCCUCUCUUAUUAAUGAGAGAGCUUCAGCUACCUGUUUUUAUGACUCACUCCUUUUAUUCUCAUUCAUUACACUUGUUCUUGUUGGUGCUAACAAGUAAUACCUCAUUUACUGAUUGGGUACCAUCAUAUAUACCUCUUUUUAUUUCUUUUAUCUAUGAACUAAUAAUAAAUGACUACAAAUAAAAAUUCGAAUCUUCUUCUUUAAUCAAAGUUAAGAUAUUGGAAACAAAUGUUAACAGAAACAAUGAAACAUCGUUUUUUUAAGAGGAGACUAGUAUCAGACGGUUUCAGGCCAAACUGUAGAGACAAAGGAACGGAAUCUGGAAGCUUUUGUUACACGAAAUCGAAGAGCAAAAUAUGAUUUGAAAUCUAAUUUCUACGGCGGUAUGGAGCUUUAGUCUGGCCUUUGGAGCACUCUCCCACGUAAUUAAUCAACAUAUUCUAGGCAUCUAGCUAGCUAGAAUUUAAUCGUUGAACUUGAAACAGAGGCUACACCAAAGAUAGACAUUCCAACAUUGAGUUUGUGUUUGUAGUUGUGUACGUGGGGGAAAAAACAGAACAUUUUGUUCUAAUCUGUUUUCCUAAUAAUGGAAUAUACAAAACUAGGCAUGAGGCAUUCUGGAUUCUUCCAACUUUAUGGAUAAAAAUGGAUCAUUCUGAUUAACAAAGAAACUGUUUAAUGUUUUUUAAAACCUAACUCAUACUAUAUAGUUCUACUCUGCCUCAGUGAAUGCAAAAGCCAUAACUGACUUUUUUUUUCUUUUUUUUUUUUUUUUUUGUCAUCCGCCAUAACUGACUUAUUAAAAUUUUGAAUGCUAUUAUAUAGGAAUCAAAUAUUUCACUUAUUAUACUUUUAAAUUGUGCUAUAUACAUAUUAAUAUAUAAGGGUUGAAAAAAAAAAAAAUAUAUAUAUAUAUAAGGGUUGUAAUGCAUUGGAUCAGAAGAAAAGAAGAAGAUAAGCCUAUAUAAUUAUAUCACCAUAAUAAAGUAGACAUAUCACAGCUGAAAAAUAAAAUCAAAUCAAUCAAACAAUUUGAAAAAAUUGACGUUUUUUUUCCUUUUCAUUCUGACAAAUAAAUAAAUACUUUCAGUCCAACGAGUUACAUCCAUCAAAUCAGAAAGGAGGAAAGAAACCUUGCCAUUUAAGUCGUUUUGUCUAUAAAAUAUCUUUGGCUAUCAUUUAUUUAUUGACAAUAAAAUCAGGAGUUAAUCACGACAAAUGAACAAGAAUAGAGGAGUUAUGCUGUGAGUAUUAAAACCCUACCAUAACGCCAGCGAAGAAGAAGAAGAAGAAGAAUUGGAAAAAUCAAAAUUUCAGAGAAGAAUUAUUCAUCUAGAGCUGUUCAACAAUGACGGAUCCACUAAUCUCCCCUCCAAACAAUAAAGCUUUCUUCGUCAUUGAUCUGUCUGGACAGAACUCUAAUCCUGUAUUUUUUCACUCCCUUUCAAUCUCACCUUCUCUCUCUCUCUGAUGUCUCCAUCUCUGUUACAAUGCAUGAAUCAUUUUGGUAUUUCUUGAUUUGUUGUUUCAGAUAAUUCCUGCUGAAUUUAUGACGAAACACUUCAAGGGUAAGAUUCAGUCAACGAAGCUGAAACUGACUUCAGUCGCUUCGGACAGAGUCUGGGAAGUGCAAUUGGACGGCAGGAGAUUCGCCGGCGGAUGGAAAAAUUUCUCUGUCUUCCACUCUGUUCGCGGCGACGACGUUUUGAGUUUCAGACACGACGGUGGUAUGGCCUUCCACGUCACACCCUUCGGACGCAGUUUCUCUCAGAUACAGUUGAUCUCUUCUUCUACCUCUGACGAUGAACACAAUGUUUUUGAUGCUCAUGAUGAUGAUAAAGACGAUGAUGUCGAUCUUGGAGAUGAUGACAAUCCAGUAUCCGAAGAGGAUUUGUGUUUGAAGAAAACUUCGUCGAAGAAGAGAGCAAGAACUGAAACAGAGUCAUCUGAAGAAACUUAUCUUAUUGCGCACGUCACACCUUCAAGCCUUAAAAGAGAUAAUAUGGUUACUACUAUUUCGCUUAGCUUGACUCGUUUAUACAAUUUUUUAUUCCAUUGAUCUCUUGCUACACUGUAAUUAAGUUAUGGUUUUGCAGUGUCUUGUAAGCAAAUUUGCAAGGUCGAAUGGUCUGGGCGGGAGAGAGUGUUACAUUGAUCUAAAAGAUGAACAUGGAAAAUCUUGGACUCUUCUUCUUAGACACAACAAAAGCACUGGUCAGGCUUUUAUGCGUGGAGGCUGGAAACUUUUCUGCCGUAGCAACGGGAUCAAAGCCGGAUCUUCAUGUAGGUUUAAGCUUGUCCAAAGCGGAACUAAACCUGUGCUACAGCUGUGCCCCAACACUUCUAGUUCCAAAGCAAACGAAAAAGAGAAUGUUUCUGAAAGUGAAGUUGAUGAGAUUGAAUCUGAGCAUUGCUCAGAGACAGUUCCAAUGCAUCAGAACAAGAUUCUGACGUUGGACCUUAAACCUUACACGCUAAGGACAUGCCAAUUUGUAAGUUUUAAGACCUUUAUUUUAGGGCUUUCAAGUCUUUGUUGUUGUUGUUGUCAUCGGCUUAAAUGUGUUGAAACUUGUACAGCGUGUUCCUGCAUCGUUGACAAGAGAGAACGGGAUCCUGGAAGCAGGAGAGGUAACUAUAGUGAACAAAGAUGGCGAAGAGUGGAAGUCGUAUCUAGUUAACGUCAAGGGGCGAGAUCAGUUUUACAUUAGAGGUUGUAAAGCGUUCUUUGUAGCCAAUGGCAUAAAGAACGUUGGUGAUCCCUUCACACUGGAGGUUAUUAGAGGAGGAUUAUCUCCUAUUCUCAAGAUAUGUUCCAAGGUUAGCACAAAAGCAAUUACUGUACUAGUUAUUGAACUUAUGUUGUUGUGAAAUUGCUGUGUUAAAACGAAUUGUGUUCAGGUGAAGCAAGCAUCGUUUGAUGGCCACAAGACUCUGGAGAGGAAACCCCAAAUGACGGUUCAAGCACAGCAUGCUGAAGACGAAACAGAGAACCGGGUCCAAAAGAAAGCUCGAGUUUGUACAGAAGAAGGACCAUCUCGCUGCACUAGGGGAUUGAACAAACCAAGUAGCACUGAUCCAGAAAAUUUGCAGGGCAAGCAACCACUUCAACCUUGCUCAAUCUCUGAUCACGUUAAAAAGGUGAAACAGAGUAUUGUGGAGACUCUAACCGAUGUUAGACGGUUUCGGUCGGAGCUGGAGAAUAAGGAACAAAACCUAGAAGCUUCGCUGCAAGAAAUUGAUGCUUUAGGUAUGGCCUGAAUUACCAAUGAACAACUACCCUUUAAUUGUGUGUGUGUGUGUGGGGUUUAUUUUGGUUCUUAUGAUUUUUUUUGAUAAUGUGAUGUUGGAAAAACAGGGGAAAAGAUGACAGGAAUCAGCAAAAUCUUCAACAUUAGUGAAGUUUAAAUCGGAAAUGAAGAUUAGAAAAUAGACCAGGUACUUUGCAACAAUGGAGUCAAGUGUUGCAUGGCACCUUUAUCUCAUUCACGUCUUAGUCAAAAUAAAGUUACUGACAUGUUUCGGAUGAAUGAAACUUUUGUUUGGUUAUUACUAAACUUGUUAUAACCAAAUAUGGAAAUUUAUUCGAUUACUUGUGUUUUACUGAACCUGUCACAUUCUCCCCCUGUGUUUAAUUUUGAAGGAAACAAAAAUUAUUACGUUUUUUUUUUGGUUUAUUUUUUUAUUUUUUUGUAAAUGUUAAAAAUUAUUAUGUUAAUUUGAAUAUAUUUCAUACUAGUAUAUAUGUUUAUGUAAAUAUAGAAUAUGAAAUAAAAAAGAUAAGAGCUUGUCUAUCUAGUACAUACCACGUUGAAGGAGAGCUAAUAAAGAUAUUUUGUCUUUAGGUUAACAAGAUUCCAUUUUAUUUCAGCAAGAUCACCAAAACAAUACAAAACGCUUUAUGUUAUUAAAGAAAAUGAGUAAUAAAUUCUUGAAAAAGGUUGCUCGAAAAGAAACUCUGUACAGAAGGAUUAGAUUCGCCAUAUCCCUUUGAUUGAACUCUCCUAGAGGGCUAACGAACAGAACAUGCCUAUCUUGGAAAAGGAAACGAUGAUGUGUAGAAAGACUUUGAAUAAACUGGAUAGAAAGAAUAUUAGAAAAGUAAAUUCUACAUCAAGUUAACUAAUUUUUGUUGUUCGGUUAAGUCUUCUUUUUUUGGUUUCCGUCAUAUAAUUUGGCUACAUUACUUAAUUAAUGUUGUUGUUUUUGGGUUUUAUGAUAAUUUCGUGUUAACAAUAUAAAUGCCUUUAUCAUUUGUUAGAUUACCAAAACGUAUAAGAUGAGAGAUUAGACGAAAAGAGUAAGACCAACAUUAUUACCAAGUAUCUUAUGUGAAUUUUAGGUUAAUUUUGUAAAAGCUAAAAACCAGUAUUCCAGUAAUGUCAAAAAAAAAAAAAAAAAAAACCUAAGAACCGGUAUUAAGAAAAUCUUUUGAUUACAAAAACUAACUUUUCUUCUUACAAAUUUAAUAUUAAAUUAAUGUUGACAACAAUAUUGUUAGCGUACUCCCAAUAAAAAUGCUGUAAUGGUCAAAUUUGGCUAUAAUAAAAGGAAAACCCGAGAGCAUUGAAAAGAGUAAAGAAAAAAAAUCAAGACUUUCAAUUUCCUUUGAGCUUUCAACAAUGGCAGUUCCACUUUCUUCAUCUCAACCAAGCUUCGUCAUAUCACUUGCUGGACACAACUCCAAUCCAGUAAUCUCACUCUCAUUCUCAACCUACCACGAAACUCAAAUUUUUGGUUGUCACUGUUGUUGCAGAUAAUUCCUCAAGUGUUUUCUACGGCUUACUUAAAGGAUUUGAACGACUUAGGGAAAUUGAAACUGACCUCUGACGCUUCGGAUACAACCUGGGAUGUGAAACUGAACGGUCGGAGAUUCGCUGGGGGCUGGGACGAUUUCUCAGCCGCUCACUGUCUCCGAGACGACGACGUUUUGCUUUUCAGACACGACGGCGAAAUGGUUUUCCAUGUCACACCUUCCGGACGCUGUUUCUCUCAGCUACAGUGUAAAUCUUGUAGCUCUGGUGAUGAUGAGACAGGGGACGAUGAAUCAGUUUCGAAGAACAUAUCGAGGAAGAAGGAGUCAAGAAUAAAAGCAGAGUCUUCUUCAUCCGAAAUUUUUUGUCUUAUCGGCGUCACACCUUCCAACCUACGCCUAAAUCGAGUGGUUUCUUUCUACUUGGAAUCAAACUCUUUAGAGUUCUUGUCCUUGAGUUCCUUUUAUGAACAUUGAUCUUGUGCUUUGUUCUUUUUUUUUUGCAGAAUUUUUCAAAACAUUUGUCGAGAUCAAAUGGUUUGAGCAAAAGAUGGUGCGGGAUUGAUCUAAUGAAUCUAAGUGGGGAAUCAUGGGCUCUGGGUCUGCAACACGACAACUUUAAUGGUCAGGAUUAUAUCAGUGGAGGCUGGACUAGUUUCUGUCAUGCAAAUGAGCUAAAACCCGGAUCGUUCUACCGGUUUAAACUUGUUCUGAAUAGGACCAGGCCUUUGCUACGGUUGUGUUCUUAUAUUAUUCCAGAAAGAAACCGUUCCGGAGCAAAUGGAAAAGCUAAUGUUUCGGAGAAGUAUAGCAGGGAAGGUGGGAGUGCUUCGACGAAGCAGAACAAGUUUCUGACUGUAACUUUUAAGCAUUAUAUGCUCCAGUCAGGACAGCUUGUGAGUUUUCAACAUCUUUAGGUGUAGGGUUAACUCGAUUAUGCAUUUUUGUGAUACUUUGCUAAUGCUUUCAAACUUCUGCAGCGUCUUCCGAGAUCAUUUGCUAGGGAGAACGGGAUCAAGCAGGCAGAAGAGAUCAUUCUAGUGGACAAAAAUGGAGUGAAGUGGCCAUCCUAUGUAGCUUCUCCCAAACAACGAGAAGAGUUUUACAUGGCACAUGGUUGGACAAGUUUUUGUGCAGCCAAUAAGUUAAAGACGGGAGAGACCUUCACGUUGGAGUUUGUUCGAGGAGAAGGCACAACUCCUAUGCUCAAGUUCUGCUUCAUGGCCAAGGUCAGGGUGAACAAACACCUUGUGGUUCAAGUCACCUUUUUUGUUAUAUUGAAUUGUAAUCAGAAUAUUAAACGAAUUGUUUAUUCAGGCAAAACAAGAAGAGGCUCCAGAAGAGACGGGAGCUCCAUACCAAAAGAGAGCUCGAGUGUCUGUAGAAGUAGGACACUCUCGCCGCACUCAGGCACCUAACAAAUCCAGUGAUGAUCCAAAAAUCUUGCAACGCAAGCAACCACUUCAACACUGCUCAUUCUCUGGUGAAGCGAAAAAUGUGAAACAGAGUAUUGUAAACAUUUUGACUGGUAUAAAACGGUUUCGGUCAGAGCUUGAGAUAAAGGAGCAAAGUUUAAAAGCUUCGUUGCUGGAAAUUGACGCUUUAGGUAUGAGCAAAUCAAGUAACCGCUGAUGAACACUUUGUUUUCUUUGACUAUGUUGGGUCUCUGUUUCUAACAUGUUUAAUGUCGAACAUAAACAGGGGAGAAAGUAUUGAAAAUAAACAAAAUCCUCAAGUAAUCCUCAAGUUUAAAAGUGAAGAUUAGGAAAUGGAACACGAGCUUUUUGCAAAUCUUGUUUGUAACUGGAACUCGUUCAACGAUGGAGAUGAGUACAUAGUUUGUAAACACUAAAAGACAUAUAUAUAUAUUUCUUAUUCUCAAGUAUAAAAUAUGCGAAAAACCAAUGGUGAUUAAUUUGUAAUACAACAAAAAUUCUCAGAGAUAUAAUGAAAUAGUCCAGAUUGCUGAUGCAACGGAAGAGGCAAGUUACAAACUCUUCCAUACUACAAACUUUUCAAGUGGACAGUCUCCGGAACUUGCAAAUCUCAAAUAUAUAAUAAACAUACGUUAGUUUGGUGGAGGAAGGAGAAGAAUCUAAUGAAAACUACUUGACUCCACCUUUGAAUGAUUCAAGACACAAAAAGUGCUUGCAAAAUACUCUUGUUCCUUUUUCCCCCAUCUUCAGUCUCACUUCAAAUCAGAUUAUUGCUGAGGAUUUUGCUGAUUCCCCAUAUCCUCUCCCCUGUUUCAUCAUCACAAGAUUAGAAACCUAAGUCAAACAAAAAUGGAAAAAACCAGCAAGAUCUUGUUUCAGGAACGCACCUAAGGCGUCUAUUGCUAGCAAAGAGGCUUGCAGAUUCUGUUCACUUGUCUCAAGCUCGGUCCGACACUGUCUCACAGUGUUCAGAGUAUCUACAAUUCCCUGCUUCACACUAGCCACCUGAUCAGAGACUGAGAAAGAUUGUGGUUGCAAUGGUCCGCUACUUAUUCUCUUAUUAACCUGUCCCUCUACUCCUACUCUUGGAGUCUUUUUCACAUUCCUUGGUUGAGGAGCAGUCUCACAAGCUCUCUUCUUACAAGUUUUUUGGUUUCCUUUUCCCUUGUAUUCAUGGUUGUCAAUCUGAAAGGAACUCAAGAGAUCAUUUAGCAUCUUUAUAUACAAAUGUUUUAGCUCUUCAGUCUCUCUAAGCAAGCCAGUGAUCUUUUUAUAUACACAAAGCUGUGUUAGUUGUUCACCUUAGAGCAGAACUUAAACAUAGGAGUUUCACCAUUCCACAUCAGUUCCAGCUUGAAGGAAUCAUUGACCUUCACUCCAUUCGCUUCGCACAUCUCUCUCCAACCUUUUCUCAAAUAAAACCAUUCACUUCCGCCUCGUCCAAGUCCUGUUAUCUGUAGAUAAGACGACCACUUCCUUCCAUCUUGGUUCAGCAGAAUUACGUCCCCUGCCUUCUUAAUGCCAUACUCCCUCGUGAAACUCACUGGAAGUGACUGAAAAAAGAUUCAUUCAGUAUCAAACGCUUAAACUCAUGAGGUCAUGACUAUGUCCACAAAAAAAGUUCAUGACAAGUUGACAACAAGUUCUUGAACUUACUAGCUGCCCGGUACUGUCACGGCUUGGUGUAUACUUUACUAUCACAGUUGGUGAAGGAGCCUUCUUCUCCUUUGCCUUUGAAACUUCAUCCAACGUUCUCUUCUCUUUAUGGUCAUUGCCAGGUUCCUGUGGGCACAACCAAAGCACAGGCUUUUUCCCAUUUUGGAAAAGUUUAAACUUACAUAAAUCUCCUUGUUUUAGAUCAUUAGUAAAGCAGAAGUGUUCCCAGCCUGCUCUGAUGUAAAACACACCACUUGAGAUGUUUUUUGCAAGUUUCAUUGUCCAUAUUCUCCCUUGCUCAUUCAUUACAUCGAUCUCACACGCUUUUUGGUGCUCACCAAACAACACCGUAUAUUUUCUAGAAAGAUCCUGCAAUAACAUCUUCAACAAGUCAGAUCACUCAACAAUGCUAUACUCUUGACUGUUACAACAGAGUUAAAAUGGAGUUUAGUAGUCACCAAACGAUCCUUGUUGAGGCUAUAGCGAGUAACACAUCCUGUGAUGAAACAAGAGUGGCGUGAUGAAGAAUCUUCUGAUUUCUUGUUCCCUGAAUCAAAACAGUCUUCACUUACAUAGUCACCAAACCAAUUAGACCCAAAAAUUAAACAGAGAUAUAUACAUUCUGUAGUUUCAUUAAACAACUCACUUGCUCUAUUCCCGUCCCCAUCAUCAUCAAUAUCAGCAGCAUCUUUGCUUUCCCCAUCAUCAUCAUCAUCAUCAUUAGUUUCGUCAUCAUCAUCAUCAUCAUCAUCAUCAUCAACAUAGUCAUCAGCAAUGCAAGUAUCCUCAGUAUCAACGUGGCUAGACGACGCGUGAUGUAUGUCACCGGAAACAGAUCCGGAGGCCACAGAUACAUGAAAGACAUCAUCUCCUUGAUGUUUGAAAACCAAAACGUCACCGUCUCUGAAUUUAUGUUCGCCGGUGAACUCUUCCCAGCCGUCGGCGAGCCUGCCGCCGUCCAGUUUCACUUUCCAAACCUUGUCCGACGCGUCCGAUAUUAGUGACACUUUCAUGUGGUUCAUUAAGAACUCAGCAUGAAGAGUCUGCAAAAAAUACAAAAGAAACAGUUGAUUAUCCAUUUAACCAAAGACAGUAACUUUAACCAAAGGCAAAAGAGAGAAAGCAUUACGAGAAGUGGUUUAUCUCCGGUAAGAAACUUUUGGUGAAACAGAGAAAAACGUGGUGGAUCUGCCAUUGUUGAAUAGUUCACACUAAUCUCAGUUGAUGGUUUAGGGCAGAGAGUGAGAUAGAAAGCAAUAAAACAGAGCAACUCUUUCCUUCUAGUUCUAGUGUUCUAGUUCUCACGUCUUCCUAGUAAAUGAUGACGUUACAUUGUUGUUUCUUUUAAUUACGUUACAAAAAAGGUAAAUCGAAUCUAGUAAAACCGGAAAAGCUGAUGUGAAUCUAUCACAUUGGUUAACGGAGUAUGUGUAGUCUGUACAACCUAGCCCUCAUCUUUUUCUUACACGAUUAAUAAUUGUGCAUGUAACCAAGUACCAACCCAUCAUCAUUCAUCACCUAUGUUGGCAAAGGAUACUCUAUGUAAUAGGUUUUGACUUUUGACAGUUUUGUCCAUUUUUCUUUUGGUUGUGUCUGAAAGAUAUGAUUUCUGAUAGCCGUGAAAUGAAAUGUUGUAAUCGCAUCAUUUUUAUUUGGUUAAUUUUAGUAAAAAUAGAAGCCUUUGGGCCUUUUGGGCUUAACUAUUUGAGAUGAGCCGCACACAAAACGGUUUAUUGGUGGGAGCAGAAACGUGUUAUAGACCUUGUUGUUCAGACAGAAGGUUACUGACUUUUUGACUAUUAAGUGUUGACUUUUUACUGGGAAGCUCUGCUCCAAUGACCUCUUCUCCUCGCUCGAGCUCUCGGUUAAGAUCCUCAAUCCAAGGGAAGAAACUGUACUGUAUAUCCAAAUAAAAAGAUGAUUAUCGCAAUUUCUUCUCGAAAUGCACGUCUUGAAUCACGUUGAAUCACCCACAAAACGUGUUUCCUGAGGAAAGUUUUCUUUGAUUUCUGUGCAUACCACCAAUACUGAUUUUUCAAAAGAUUUAUAUAUCUCAAAUCACUCUUCAUUCCCAUGGAGGUUCAAGCUGAAAUGGAGCCUAGCUCGUCCAUUAGGUACUCUACUCUCCUCUAAUUCCUGCUCUCUUCUUCAAAUUUGAUCCCUUUUUUUUUUCUUUGUUCAUGGCUUCUUUCAAUUCGAUUAGGGAAGUAUCUGAUCGAUUUAGGACGCGUUAGGGAUACAUUUAUUGGUUUCGUGGAUUCGAUUGCUUCUUAAAGUUAUUAACUUGGAUACUUUGAAUUGCGCUUCUUCAUCAGGGUAGAUCUAGAUCUCGAGAUUUACAGAGAAUCAAAGUUAUGUUUGUGCAGAGAAUAAGUAAGCUUAUGUUUGUUCUAUGAUGCAGUUUAAUCUCAGCUGUUUCAUAUGGCAUUGCUUCCAUGGCAAUGGUUUUUAUCAACAAAGCUGUUAUUAUGCAGUAUCCACAUUCCAUGACUGUUCUUACCCUACAGGUACUACAGUAUUUGAUAUCUACUUAACUAGGAUUACUCACUUCCUCAAAAUGCUGGUUAUGAAUUGGUCCUUCUUUUUUUUUUUUUUUUGGUUUGUAUUAGCAAUUGGCAACUUCUUUGCUUAUACACUUUGGCAGACGAAUGGGAUACACAAGAGCUAAAGGAAUCGAUUUGGCCACCGCAAAAAAGCUACUCCCGGUUUCGAUCUUCUACAAUGCUAACGUUGCAUUUGCUCUUGCAAGCUUGAAAGGAGUUAAUAUUCCAAUGUAUAUCGCCAUUAAGAGACUCACUCCACUCGCUGUUUUGAUUGCUGGGUUCCUCUUUGGUAAAGGCAAACCAACCACUCAGGUAUUUGCCACUCUAAUCUUUUAUGAAAAGGUUCAUCUUUUUAUUUUUCAAUUUUGCUAAUGAAACAAGCAAUGAAUCUCUUGUUGAAUUUUCAGGUUGCUCUAUCUGUACUACUGACAGCUGCAGGUUGUGUAAUUGCAGCUCUUGGAGAUUUUUCUUUUGACCUUUUUGGGUAUGGUUUGGCUUUAACAUCUGUCUUUUUCCAGGUUGGUUUCAUUGUUCUUUUCCUUCCCUUGCAUCAAUCCCCCAUUAACCAUAUGAUAAAACCAAUAUCGUUUCAUGCUCAUCGCUGCAGACCAUGUACCUUGUGCUGGUUGAGAAGUCUGGUGCAGAAGACGGGCUUUCCUCGAUCGAGAUAAUGUUUUAUAACAGCUUCCUUUCUCUCCCAUUUUUGUCCUUCCUCAUCAUAGUUACCGGCGAAUUCCCAAACUCUCUAUCUCUCUUACUUGCAAAGGUCAGAAACGUUCAUCACUCUAAGCUUGCGGCUUUUCUCAGAAACUAAUUUCUUAAAAGGUCAAACUAUUUCUUCUGUUCGACAGUGUUCUUAUUUGCCAUUCUUGGUGAUUCUCAUUCUUUCACUGGUAAUGGGCAUUGUCCUCAACUUCACCAUGUUUCUUUGCACCAUUGUGAACUCUGCACUAACAACAACCAUCGUUGGUGUCCUCAAAGGCGUUGGUUCCACUGUAAGUAUAUACUCUCAUUUGGCUCUGUUUCGAGAUGAAAGUCUCUUCAUUUUCAAGUCAAGAGGCAAGCAUUUAUUAGUCUUAUACUUAUCUUUGCUUCGUUUUUAAUCUCCUAGACUCUCGGUUUUGUCCUCUUGGGUGGUGUUGAAGUACAUGCUUUGAACGUGUCCGGUUUAGUGGUCAAUACAGCUGGUGGUGUGUGGUACUCAUACGCCAAGUACCGACAGAAAAAGGCUAAACCGGCUAAGCUAAUGUCUGAUUUGGAAGCUCACAAAAAAUGAGACUCGAGAUCUGAUUUGUAUUUGAUUGCGCGUCACAUAUGUCCUUUGUCACAAAAAAGUUGUAUUUCUGAUACUUGUUGGGUUUGGUUAUCUCUUUGGAAGUGGAAGGCAUAGUGGGGGUUAUAGUCUUUGCCAUUCAAACCAAUGAUCCGAAAGAACCGAAGUAUUAGAUAGAAGUUGAACCAGUAAAACCGGUAUAACAAGAAACUUUCAAGUUUCAAGAAUCACAGUAGCUUCAGCCUUCAGGUCCAAUCUUCUCGGUUGGAUCUAAAAGUGAGAGAUUAGAGAAGCCAUUAAAGUAACUGAAUUUUGAUAAGAAUCAACCUUGCACUGAUCAGGUGAUUUCAAAUAGGUUAUUCAAUAUCAGUUAUUAUAUGUCGAUAAAGUUGUAAAGUUGUGGCCGUAGCAUAACAACGAUACAACAAAAACAUCAGGCAUGUGUUGGGUAUCAACUAUCAACUAUCAACUAUCAAAUAGUUAGAAGAACACAUGAAAUGUUUGUUCUAUUUAAUUGUGGAAAAAAGUUAUUAAAAUGGGUCUACUACUAAUUAAUACCUUUAGAUUAAGACACAUUUUUUUUUUUUUUUGUGAUAGAAAAGACAGCACAUGAGAGUCAUUACAGCGUCAGCUACCUGUUCAAGUCUUUAAUACAUUCGUUAACACUGUUCGAGACCCAUUUUAGGACAACAUUAUUGGUCUUAACAGAACAAAAUAUUGCUCGGAAUAUUCAAAUUUUAGAAAAGCAAUGGAUGUUACUUUGGAAGAGUUGAGAAACUUUUUACAAAAAAAUAGAAAAAAAAAACUUUGAUCAAUAAAAAAUGAAAAAUUCUCUUGAAUGAGUGUAUCCAUCCACUAAUUACAAUAAUAUUGAUAAAAGUAGAGAGUGUAACGCACUUGUAUGUAAGAUAAUAUGUUAACAUAGUUGAACGAAUAUCAUAAUUCAAAAGUGAUACUGAUAACAAAUUAGUAAUAAUCAAUCAUUCACUAAAGACAUAAGCGAUCCUCUUUAUAUAUACAUGAUUAACCUGGAUUCAUUUUAAACACACACUCUUAAUCAUAUAUAUAUCUUGUCCAAUAAUUUUUGAAUUAUUGUUAGGGCAGACUUGUGAUUAUACCGAGGAAUGUAUACAAAAAAAAAAAAAAAAAAAAGAUAACGAUUCUGAAGUAAAUUGAAAAGAAAACUAGGUCAUUUUUAAGUAUCAUUUUAUUACGUUAUAAUAGCCAAUAUUAUUAAAAUCGUAUUGCAUGUUAUAUCCUAACUCUAACUUUAUUCUACUUGAC